GAUGAACGCUGGCGGCGUGCCUAAUACGUGCAAGUCGAGCGAACAGAUGAGGAGCUUGCUCCUCUGACGUUAGCGGCGGACGGGUGAGUAACACGUGGAUAACCUACCUAUAAGACUGGGAUAACUUCGGGAAACCGGAGCUAAUACCGGAUAAUAUAUUGAACCGCAUGGUUCAAUAGUGAAAGACGGUUUUGCUGUCACUUAUAGAUGGAUCCGCGCCGCAUUAGCUAGUUGGUAAGGUAACGGCUUACCAAGGCGACGAUGCGUAGCCGACCUGAGAGGGGGAUCGCCCACACUGGAACUGAGACACGGUCCAGACUCCUACGGGAGGCAGCAGUAGGGAAUCUUCCGCAAUGGGCGAAAGCUUGACGGAGCAACGCCGCGUGAGUGAUGAAGGUCUUCGGAUCGUAAAACUCUGUUAUUAGGGAAGAACAAAUGUGUAAGUAACUAUGCACGUCUUGACGGUACCUAAUCAGAAAGCCACGGCUAACUACGUG
rnacentral:rRNA from 1 species